rnacentral:rRNA from 1 species
UACGAAGGGGGCUAGCGUUGCUCGGAAUCACUGGGCGUAAAGGGUGCGUAGGCGGGUCUUUAAGUCAGGGGUGAAAUCCUGGAGCUCAACUCCAGAACUGCCUUUGAUACUGAGGAUCUUGAGUUCGGGAGAGGUGAGUGGAACUGCGAGUGUAGAGGUGAAAUUCGUAGAUAUUCGCAAGAACACCAGUGGCGAAGGCGGCUCACUGGCCCGAUACCGACGCUGAGGCGCGAAAGCGUGGGGAGCAAACAGG